CGCCCAGACUCCUACGGGAGGCAGCAGUGGGGGAUAUUGCACAAUGGGGGGAACCCUGAUGCAGCGACGCCGCGUGAGUGAAGAAGUAUUUCGGUAUGUAAAGCUCUAUCAGCAGGGAAGAAAGAGACGAAAGUCUUGUGACAGUACCUGACUAAGAAGCCCCGGCUAACUACGUGCCAGCAGCCGCGGUAAUACGUAGGGAGCAAGCGUUAUCCGGAUUUACUGGGUGUAAAGGGCGCGUAGGCGGGAUGGCAAGUCAGAUGUGAAAUCCAAGGGCUCAACCCUUGAACUGCAUUUGAAACUGUCGUUCUUGAGUACUGGAGAGGUUGACGGAAUUCCUAGUGUAGCGGUGAAAUGCGUAGAUAUUAGGAGGAACACCAGUGGCGAAGGCGGUCAACUGGACAGCAACUGACGCUGAGGCGCGAAAGCGUGGGGAGCAAACAGGAUUAGAUACCCUA
rnacentral:rRNA from 1 species